rnacentral:rRNA from 1 species
GUAACGAUCUGGGCGCUGUCUCAGCCAUGAGUUCGGUGAAAUUGUGGUCCCGGUGAAGACGCCGGGUACCCGCAACGGGACGGAAAGACCCCAUGCACCUUCACUACAAUUUAACAUUGACAUUGGAUACAGGAUGUGUAGGAUAGGUGGGAGACUAUGAAGUGGCGUCGCUAGGCGUCGUGGAGUCAACGUUGAAAUACCACCCUUUCUGUAUUCGGUGUCUAACUCCGCUAAGCGG